rnacentral:rRNA from 1 species
GUAUCAGCAGCCGCGGUAACACCGGCAGCUCGAGUGGUAGCCGCGUUUAUUGGGCCUAAAGCGUCCGUAGCCGGUCCGAUAAGUCUCUGGUGAAAGCCCACAGCUUAACUGUGGGAAUCGCUGGAAAUACUAUCGGACUUGAGGCCGGGAGAGGCUGGAGGUACUCCCAGGGUAGGGGUGAAAUCCUAUAAUCCUGGGAGGACCACCUGUGGCGAAGGCGUCCAGCUGGAACGGACCUGACGGUGAGGGACGAAAGCCAGGGGCGCGAACCGGAUUAGAUACCCGGGUAGUCCUGGCCGUAAACGAUGCGGACUUGGUGUUGGGACGGCUUUGAGCUGUCCCAGUGCCGAAGGGAAGCUGUUAAGCACUCCGCCUGGGGAGUACGGCCGCAAGGCUAAAACUUAAAGGAAUUGGCGG